rnacentral:rRNA from 1 species
UUAAGUUAUUAAGGGCGCACGGUGGAUGCCUUGGCACUAGAAGCCGAUGAAGGACGUUACUAACGACGAUAUGCUUUGGGGAGCUGUAAGUAAGCUUUGAUCCAGAGAUUUCCGAAUGGGGAAACCCAGCAUGAGUUAUGUCAUGUUAUCGAUAUGUGAAUACAUAGCAUAUCAGAAGGCACACCCGGAGAACUGAAACAUCUUAGUACCCGGAGGAAGAGAAAGAAAAUUCGAUUCCCUUAGUAGCGGCGAGCGAAACGGGAAGAGCCCAAACCAACAAGCUUGCUUGUUGGGGUUGUAGGACACUCUAUACGGAGUUACAAAGGACGACAUUAGACGAAUCAUCUGGAAAGAUGAAUCAAAGAAGGUAAUAAUCCUGUAGUCGAAAAUGUUGUCUCUCUUGAGUGGAUCCUGAGUACGACGGAGCACGUGAAAUUCCGUUGGAAUCUGGGAGGACCAUCUCCUAAGGCUAAAUACUCUCUAGUGACCGAUAGUGAACCAGUACCGUGAGGGAAAGGUGAAAAGCACCCCGGAAGGGGAGUGAAAUAGAACCUGAAACCGUGUGCUUACAAGUAGUCAGAGCCCGUUAAUGGGUGAUGGCGUGCCUUUUGUAGAAUGAACCGGCGAGUUACGAUUUGAUGCAAGGUUAAGCAGUAAAUGUGGAGCCGUAGCGAAAGCGAGUCUGAAUAGGGCGUUUAGUAUUUGGUCGUAGACCCGAAACCAGGUGAUCUACCCUUGGUCAGGUUGAAGUUCAGGUAACACUGAAUGGAGGACCGAACCGACUUACGUUGAAAAGUGAGCGGAUGAACUGAGGGUAGCGGAGAAAUUCCAAUCGAACCUGGAGAUAGCUGGUUCUCUCCGAAAUAGCUUUAGGGCUAGCCUCAAGUGAUGAUUAUUGGAGGUAGAGCACUGUUUGGACGAGGGGCCCCUCUCGGGUUACCGAAUUCAGACAAACUCCGAAUGCCAAUUAAUUUAACUUGGGAGUCAGAACAUGGGUGAUAAGGUCCGUGUUCGAAAGGGAAACAGCCCAGACCACCAGCUAAGGUCCCAAAAUAUAUGUUAAGUGGAAAAGGAUGUGGCGUUGCCCAGACAACUAGGAUGUUGGCUUAGAAGCAGCCAUCAUUUAAAGAGUGCGUAAUAGCUCACUAGUCGAGUGACACUGCGCCGAAAAUGUACCGGGGCUAAACAUAUUACCGAAGCUGUGGAUUGUCCUUUGGACAAUGGUAGGAGAGCGUUCUAAGGGCGUUGAAGCAUGAUCGUAAGGACAUGUGGAGCGCUUAGAAGUGAGAAUGCCGGUGUGAGUAGCGAAAGACGGGUGAGAAUCCCGUCCACCGAUUGACUAAGGUUUCCAGAGGAAGGCUCGUCCGCUCUGGGUUAGUCGGGUCCUAAGCUGAGGCCGACAGGCGUAGGCGAUGGAUAACAGGUUGAUAUUCCUGUACCACCUAUAAUCGUUUUAAUCGAUGGGGGGACGCAGUAGGAUAGGCGAAGCGUGCGAUUGGAUUGCACGUCUAAGCAGUAAGGCUGAGUAUUAGGCAAAUCCGGUACUCAUUAAGGCUGAGCUGUGAUGGGGAGAAGACAUUGUGUCUUCGAGUCGUUGAUUUCACACUGCCGAGAAAAGCCUCUAGAUAGAAAAUAGGUGCCCGUACCGCAAACCGACACAGGUAGUCAAGAUGAGAAUUCUAAGGUGAGCGAGCGAACUCUCGUUAAGGAACUCGGCAAAAUGACCCCGUAACUUCGGGAGAAGGGGUGCUCUUUAGGGUUAACGCCCAGAAGAGCCGCAGUGAAUAGGCCCAAGCGACUGUUUAUCAAAAACACAGGUCUCUGCUAAACCGUAAGGUGAUGUAUAGGGGCUGACGCCUGCCCGGUGCUGGAAGGUUAAGAGGAGUGGUUAGCUUCUGCGAAGCUACGAAUCGAAGCCCCAGUAAACGGCGGCCGUAACUAUAACGGUCCUAAGGUAGCGAAAUUCCUUGUCGGGUAAGUUCCGACCCGCACGAAAGGCGUAACGAUUUGGGCACUGUCUCAACGAGAGACUCGG